rnacentral:sRNA from 1 species
ACCCUUUGAGCCAGAGGCCGGAAUGCUCGACGGGUUAUCACCCAGUUUAUAAGUAGAUUGACAUACUAUGUAUCCCGUUGAUUGCAUUCAAUAUAUAGAUCAUACAACUUACAACUUCCUUGAUUUUUGAUGGUUUACGGUUGCUGAGCGCCUCGAGGUGAGGUCGCUAGAACAGCAAUGAGUUCCGCAGCCCAGAACGUGGAUUUGAUAUAGCUCGAAGGCACUCUCGAAGGCAGCAAGAUAGCCUCUGGCAAGACAACAGCAAUAAUGAUGAGGCGGAGUAAUCCACAACCCUUGGAAGAGUGUAGCUUUCUACAAAGGGUGGCCCGAGUACAAAAGACCCAUGUUCCAACGC